rnacentral:tmRNA from 1 species
GGGGCUGACUGGUUUUGACAGCAUUAGGAUUGGUAUGUAAGCAUGACGGGUCACGUGACACAUCCCGUAAAACUGGGUUGCAACACUUUUAAUUGGCGAAAAUAACUACGCUCUCGCAGCUUAAUCGAAGUACAGUAGAUGAGUUUAUCUCUGGUCAAGGACCGGAGACGGGACGAUUCGCAGGUGGAGAGGUCUGAUUCCGGCCUGAUCACGAGUCGCAAGCAAUUUCAGACUGGUUUUGUUCCUGCCCUGGGAACGAGAUGAGAUUUUAAGGGCUAAGGCAUUAUUUGGGCGUUUGUCCCCUGGUAUUGCCCGACAAUGAAUGACGAACUAAUCAUGUAGAAAGCAUAUGGGUUCGGUGUUUGGACGAGGGUUCGAAUCCCUCCAGCUCCACAA